UACAGAGGUGGCAAGCGUUGUUCGGAAUUACUGGGCGUAAAGCGUGCGCAGGCGGCGGCUCAAGUCAGGUGUGAAAUCCCCGGGCUUAACCUGGGAAUUGCGCUUGAAACUAGGCUGCUUGAGUGUGGCAGAGGGGGGUGGAAUUCCACGUGUAGCAGUGAAAUGCGUAGAGAUGUGGAGGAACACCGAUGGCGAAGGCAGCCCCCUGGGCUAACACUGACGCUCAUGCACGAAAGCGUGGGGAGCAAACAGG
rnacentral:rRNA from 1 species